rnacentral:rRNA from 1 species
UACGUAGGGUGCGAGCGUUGUCCGGAAUUAUUGGGCGUAAAGAGCUUGUAGGUGGUUUGUCGCGUCUGCUGUGAAAAUCCGAGGCUCAACCUCGGACUUGCAGUGGGUACGGGCAGACUGGAGUGUGGUAGGGGAGACUGGAAUUCCGUGGUGUAGCGGUGGAAUGCGUAGAUAUCAAGAGGAAUACCUGAGGUGAAGACGGGUUGCUAGGCUGACACCUGGACGCUGAGGCGCGAAAGCCAGGGGAGCAAACGGG